ensembl:ncRNA F45D3.16 ncRNA
AAGUUUGCAUGUACUUUUCCGCCAUCGCCCUCCCUCUAUACCUUGUCCUGCGUCUCAGUGUAAACCGUAUGGGGCGGGGCACCUUCUCCUUCGGGGCGACCCGGUCGUACCGCCCCCACCAUUUUCACCUACAGGGUUUGAUAUUCAGAUACUAAUGUCGAUAUGUAGUGAGAUGGUGUACCUACCAUCUCAACAGGUUUCCGCUAAUCUUCCCA